GUGCUCACUUGGGCAGCACAUAUACUAAAAUUGGAACGAUACAAAGAAGAUUAGCACGGCCCCUGCUCAAGGAUGACACACAAAUUCGUGAAGCGUUCCAUAUUAAG
rnacentral:snRNA from 1 species